rnacentral:rRNA from 1 species
UACAGAGGGUGCGAGCGUUAAUCGGAAUUACUGGGCGUAAAGCGCGCGUAGGCGGCUUUGCAAGUCGAGUGUGAAAUCCCCAGGCUUAACCUGGGAACUGCAUUCGAGACUGCAUAGCUAGAGUAUGGGAGAGGGAAGUGGAAUUUCAGGUGUAGCAGUGAAAUGCGUAGAUAUCUGAAGGAACAUCAGUGGCGAAAGCGACUUCCUGGACCAAUACUGACGCUCAUGUGCGAAAGCGUGGGGAGCAAACAGG